rnacentral:rRNA from 1 species
UUUGUCUUUAAUUGCCAUCAUUCAGUUGGGCACUUUAAAGAGACUGCCGGUGUUAAACCGGAGGAAGGUGGGGAUGACGUCAAGUCCUCAUGGCCUUUAUGCCCAGGGCUACACACGUGCUACAAUGGGUGGUACAAAGAGAUGCAAUCUCGCAAGAGCAAGCAAACCUCAAAAGCCAUCCUCAGUUCGGAUUGGAGUCUGCAACUCGACUCCAUGAAGUCGGAAUCGCUAGUAAUCGCGGAUCAGCACGCCGCGGUGAAUACGUUCCCGGGCCUU